GAUGAACGCUGGCGGCGUGCCUAAUACAUGCAAGUCGAGCGAACAGACGAGGAGCUAGCUCCUCUGACGUUAGCGGCGGACGGGUGAGUAACACGUGGAUAACCUCCCUAUAAGACUGGGAUCACUUCGGGAAACCGGAGCUAAUACCGGAUAAUAUCUUGAACCGCAUGGUGCAAUAGUGAAAGACGGUUUUGCGGUCACUUAUAGAUGGAUCCGCGCCGCAUUAGCUAGUUGGUAAGGUAACGGCUUACCAAGGCAACGAUGCGUAGCCGACCUGAGAGGGUGAUCGGCCACACUGGAACUGAGACACGGUCCAGACUCCUACGGGAGGCAGCAGUAGGGAAUCUUCCGCAAUGGGCGAAAGCUUGACGGAGCAACGCCGCGUGAGUGAUGAAGGUCUUCGGAUCGUAAAACUCUGUUAUUAGGGAAGAACAAAUGUGUAAGUAACUAUGCACGUCUUGACGGUACCUAAUCAGAAAGCCACGGCUAACUACGUG
rnacentral:rRNA from 1 species